GAAGAAUCUGCCUUCAACUCUGGGAUAACUCCGGGAAACCGGGGCUAAUACCGGAUAUGAGAUCUGCAGGCAUCUGCGGAUCUGGAAAGUUUUUCGGUUGAAGAUGACUUCGCGGCCUAUCAGCUUGUUGGUGAGGUAAAGGCUCACCAAGGCGACGACGGGUAGCCGGCCUGAGAGGGCGACCGGCCACACUGGGACUGAGACACGGCCCAGACUCCUACGGGAGGCAGCAGUGGGGAAUAUUGGGCAAUGGAGGGAACUCUGACCCAGCGACGCCGCGUGCGGGAUGAAGGCCUUCGGGUUGUAAACCGCUUUCAGCAGGGAAUAAGCGCAAGUGAAGGUACCUGCAGAAGAAGCACCGGCUAACUAUGUGCCAGCAGCCGCGGUAAUACAUAGGGUGCAAGCGUUGUCCGGAAUUAUUGGGCGUAAAGAGCUCGUAGGUGGUUAGUUACGUCGGAUGUGAAAAUCAGGGGCUCAACCCCUGACCUGCAUCCGAUACGGACUAGCUAGAGUUUGGUAGGGGAGACUGGAAUUCCUGGUGUAGCGGUGGAAUGCGCAGAUAUCAGGAGGAACACCGAUGGCGAAGGCAGGUCUCUGGGCCAAUACUGACACUGAGGAGCGAAAGCGUGGGGAGCGAACAGGAUUAGAUACCCUGGUAGUCCACGCCGUAAACGGUGGGCGCUAGUUGUGCGAACCUUCCACGGUUUGUGCGACGCAGCUAACGCAUUAAGCGCCCCGCCUGGGGAGUACGAUCGCAAGAUUAAAACUCAAAGGAAUUGACGGGGCCCCGCACAAGCAGC
rnacentral:rRNA from 1 species